rnacentral:rRNA from 1 species
UGGCUCAGGACGAACGCUGGCGGCAAGCCUAACACAUGCAAGUCGAACGGACAAUUAUUUAUAGCUUUUGGCUAUAGGCAAUUGUUAGUGGCAGACGGGUGAGUAAUGCGUAGGAAUCUACCUAGUAGUACGGAAUAGCCAUUAGAAAUGAUGGGUAAUACUGUAUAAUCCCCGAGGGGGAAAGAUUUAUCGCUAUUAGAUGAGCCUACGUUAGAUUAGCUAGUUGGUAAGGUAAUGGCUUACCAAGGCUAUGAUCUAUAGCUGGUCUGAGAGGACGAUCAGCCACACUGGAACUGAGAUACGGUCCAGACUCCUACGGGAGGCAGCAGUGGGGAAUAUUGGACAAUGGGCGAAAGCCUGAUCCAGCUAUGCCGCGUGAGUGAAGAAGGCCUUCGGGUUGUAAAACUCUUUCAAUAGGGAAGAUAAUGACGGUACCUAUAGAAGAAGUCCCGGCAAACUCUGUGCCAGCAGCCGCGGUAAUACGGAGGGGGCAAGCGUUGUUCGGAAUUAUUGGGCGUAAAGGGCACGUAGGUGGACUAGUAAGUUAAAAGUGAAAUACCAAAGCUUAACUUUGGAGCGGCUUUUAAUACUGCUAGACUAGAGGUCGAAAGAG